rnacentral:lncRNA from 13 species
GACAACGUGAACGCGAUUGGUCAAAAGUCUGCUGGGGUGGGGCGUUUAAACGUUCCGCCAUUCUUUGUCCAAUGGGAUUUCUAAUCUCCCCUUCCUGUAAUAUUUCUGCCGUUGCCAAGGACAACGGAAGCCGCUCCUGUACAAUAAGGAAGUUAUUGUUAUUGUACUGUCUUCGCCGCUGCAUUAUUUUUUUUUUUUUACAAAACAGAAACUCAUCUUGCUUUAUUCUUGGACUAAUAAGGGGACAAAAACAAAAUGUCUUUAUUGAAGAGAUGUCCUAGCUCCCCUGUGCUUGUCGUUAUUCUGAUCUGAGACCCUGCGGCAUUGUGAUCCUCAUCAGUCAGUGUGUCUGUUCUCCCAUAAGAAAGUAGCCUACUGUAGCUGCUGUGUGUUGACUGCUACUCAUGAUGACUGACUCUACUAUGGGGCUGCGUUUGGGACCAGGCCCGACCUCUCCGCUGAAGGUGAAAAGAGACUCCUCAACAGCACCCUGUCUGCAUUCUUUGUUCCCAUCAUGUGAUAUUUUUUUUAUCACGUUUCGACCCCUGAGACUCCGCACUCUGCAUUCUAUGCCAUUCUAGAAUGCAGUGUGUGUAGUCCAGGGUCGUGCGCAGACCUUUCAGGGGCAUGUGCUCAACAACAACAAAAAAUCACAACAUACCAAAAACCACUGUUGCAAAUGUUUUUAUUUUUUUAGCAUAGUCCUAUUUAACAGCACACUCACUCAUCAUCACAAAUUGUAAGCAAGCUAGUUAAGUGCCUCCUAAACAUGAUUGGCAUCGGGAAAAGAGGACGGGCUAUCAGCUGAUCGUUGAUGUUGAUGAUUUAUGUAAAUCUGCUGGUUAGCUAGCACGAUUUCUUUUACUGAUUUUUUUUAUUUAUAUUCAAUGCUCGUAUCAAAUAACUUAAUAAUAUAUUAUUCAUAAGGUUUCAACUCAAUAUAUGAUACUGGUGUUUUAUGAGGAUCCCUAUUAGCUGUUGAGAAAGCAGCAGCUACUCUUCCUGGGGUCCACACAAAACAUGAAACACAAUACAGAACAUUAACAGACAAAAACAGAUCAAGGACAAAACUAACUAGCCUACAUAUCAAUACAUACACACAAAAUAUCUUGGUCCAAUACGGGAGAGGUGUUGUGGCGUGAGGUGCUGCUUUAUCUGUUUUUUGAAACUAGGUUUGCUGUUCAUUUGAGCAAUAUGAGAUGAGAAUUCCAUACAAUAACGGCUCUAUAUAAUACUGUACACUUUCUUGAAUUUGUUCUGGAUUUGGGGACAGGGGAAAAGUCCCCUGGUGGCAUGUCUGGUGGGGUAAGUGUCUGUGCCAGAGCUGUGUGUAAGUUUACUAUGCAAACAAUUUGGAGUUUUCAAAACAAUGUUUCUUAUUAAAAGAAUAGAAAAGCGUAGAGGGCCUAGAGAGCUUCCCUGCGGUACACCAUACCUUUCGUGUUUGACAUUAGAGAGGCUUCCAUUAAAGAAAACCCUCUGAGUUCUGUGAUAUAGAUAGCUUUAAAUCCACGAUGUGGCAGAGGUUGAAAAGACAUACGUUUUCUCAACAACAAGUUAUGGUCGAUAAAAUCAAAGGCUGCACUGAAAUCUACAAUCUUAUUAUCAAUUUAUUUCAACCAAUCAUCAGUCAUUUGUGUCAGUGCAGUACAUGUUGAGUGCCUUUCUCGAUAAGCAUGCUGAAAGUUUGUUGUCAAUUUGUUCACAGCAAAAUAGCAUUGUAUUUGGUCAAACACUAUUUUUUCUAACAGUUUCUCUUGAGCUGGCAACAAGCUGAUAGGUCAGCUGUUAGAACCAGUAAAGGCCGCUUUACCAUUCUUGGGUAGCUGAAUGUCUUUGGCUUCCCUCCAGGCCUGAGGACAAAGACUUUCAUCAAAGACUCAGAUCUGACAGAUAGGAGUGACUAUAGAGUCAGCUACCAUCCUCAGUAGCUUUCCAUCUAAGUUGUCCAUGCCAAGAAAUUUGUCGUUAUUGAUCGAUGAUAAUCAUUUUUCCACCUCUCUCACACUAACUUUACUAAAUUCUAAUUUGCAAUGCUUUUCUAUCAUUAUUUGUUUUUUAUGCAUGAAUGCGAUGGCCCACUGUUCAUUGCUGGCAUUUCCUGCCUAAGUUUGCCCACUUUGCCAAUGAAGUGAUCAUUAGAAUAAUUGGCAACAUCAAAUGGUUUGUGAUGGAUAAGCCAUCUGAUUGGAUGAAAGAUGGAGGUGAAUUUGUCUUUCUGCCCAUAAUUUCAUUUAAAGUGCUCCAGUGUUUUUCUCCCAUCAUUCUU